AUGGGGCUGCCUUUUCUCCCCUGGAGAGCGUUUCCGCUAACUCCGGACAAACGUUGUUCUGUUCUUAGAGUGAGAAGCCCUCGGGCCAAUGGGGCUCCAGGAUCCAUUCCCUUUGGUUCAAGGUCAGCGGCGGACUGGGUCGGGCUCCCUCAAGACACCUGCAGCUCCACCUGCCGGCCACUCACAGCAUUGUCUCCAGGCGUGUCCCGGCUGCCUGAGCUCCCCCGAGACCCCUGUUACCACUUUACCAUCCUCACCUGGUCAGCGCCCCAGCCCUAUUACCGAUGCCUCUCAAACCCCAGAACUCCACGGGUUUCUCCCCCCACCAUGGCCGGUGUCUUCCACCUGGGCAGGGGUGGGGCCUUCCAACCUCAGCCCCGCCUCCCGACACAGCCGCAGGCGCAGGCUCCCCUUAAAGGGCAAGUCAGCCACAUCCAGCCCUGCCCCAACCCACUCUGCUUAACAGAGCUGAGUGCCUCGUUUGGCCUGCUGAGCAAACUUGGACUCCGUGUGCCGGCUCCUGACAUGCCCUGGGCUCAGCCUCCGGCCACCCCCCCUGCUGCCCGGCCCCUGCCUUCCCGACUGUGGCCUCUGCCUCUCUUGCGCCUGGUGUGCUCCCCUCACCACGGGACACGUGCACGCUGGCUCAGCUGCCUGGAAGCGGGGUCCCUUCCCCUGUUCCCAGUGUCAGCCCUGCUCAUUGCUCUCUCCCAGCUCCAACACCGCUUCCUCCGAGAAGCAGCUCCCGUGGGCCUAGCACCUGCUGUAUGCCCCACUCUGCACCCAGAGCUGAGGGUCCUGCGGCCGUCUUCAGCACAGCUCCUCACCACCGUCACCAGGGGGCGCCAUCCACCUGUGGCUGUGGCCACACAGAAACCCUUCCUCCCUGUUGCUCUCCACAUCCCAGGAAGACAGACAGUGCGGGGAAGCUCAGGAAUGGGGCUCCAGGAACCCAGGAGCGCAGGAGAGAGAGGGGCUCGGCCUGCGCCCUCAGUGCCACGUGGCCCACUGAUAUCGAGGCAUAGUGCUCCCUCACGAGGUAGGCACCCCCCACCCCCCGUGAGUGCCGCCUCCAGCAGGUGCAGACCCGGCUACCCGGCGUGGAGUGACCCAAGGUCACGGCUUCGCCCGUGGGAUGUCGCCUGCAAUGGGUGCUCUGAAGCCGAGCGCCAGGAGGCAGUCAGACCAGUCCGAAUCCGCCCGUGUGUGAGGCCGCCAGCAGGACAGCAGAGCUGUGCGCUCCCCUGA
rnacentral:lncRNA from 1 species